rnacentral:rRNA from 1 species
AAAUUGAAGAGUUUGAUCAUGGCUCAGAUUGAACGCUGGCGGCAGGCCUAACACAUGCAAGUCGAACGGUAACAGGAAGCAGCUUGCUGCUUCGCUGACGAGUGGCGGACGGGUGAGUAAUGUCUGGGAAACUGCCUGAUGGAGGGGGAUAACUACUGGAAACGGUGGCUAAUACCGCAUAACGUCGCAAGACCAAAGAGGGGGACCUUCGGGCCUCUUGCCAUCAGAUGUGCCCAGAUGGGAUUAGCUUGUUGGUGAGGUAACGGCUCACCAAGGCGACGAUCCCUAGCUGGUCUGAGAGGAUGACCAGCCACACUGGAACUGAGACACGGUCCAGACUCCUACGGGAGGCAGCAGUGGGGAAUAUUG